rnacentral:rRNA from 1 species
AUUGAACGCUGGCGGCAUGCCUUACACAUGCAAGUCGAACGGUAACAGGUCUUCGGAUGCUGACGAGUGGCGAACGGGUGAGUAAUACAUCGGAACGUGCCUAGUAGUGGGGGAUAACUACUCGAAAGAGUGGCUAAUACCGCAUGAGAUCUACGGACGAAAGCAGGGGAUCGCAAGACCUUGUGCUACUAGAGCGGCCGAUGGCAGAUUAGGUAGUUGGUGGGAUAAAAGCUUACCAAGCCGACGAUCUGUAGCUGGUCUGAGAGGACGAUCAGCCACACUGGGACUGAGACACGGCCCAGACUCCUACGGGAGGCAGCAGUGGGGAAUUUUGGACAAUGGGCGAAAGCCUGAUCCAGCGAUGCCGCGUGCAGGAUGAAGGCCUUCGGGUUGUAAACUGCUUUUGUACGGAACGAAAAGCCCCGGGUUAAUACCCUGGGGUCAUGACGGUACCGUAAGAAUAAGCACCGGCUAACUACGUGCCAGCCGCCGCGGUAACAC